CAGCAGCCGCGGUAAUACGUAGGGUGCGAGCGUUAAUCGGAAUUACUGGGCGUAAAGCGUGCGCAGGUGGUUCGUUAAGACAGAUGUGAAAUCCCCGGGCUUAACCUGGGAACUGCAUUUGUGACUGGCGAGCUAGAGUAUGGCAGAGGGGGGUAGAAUUCCACGUGUAGCAGUGAAAUGCGUAGAGAUGUGGAGGAAUACCGAUGGCGAAGGCAGCCCCCUGGGCCAAUACUGACGCUCAUGCACGAAAGCGUGGGGAGCAAACAGGAUUAGAUACCCCCGUAGUCCCUGUCUCUUAUAC
rnacentral:rRNA from 1 species